CAAGCAGAUGGUCAGCGUCAUGAGCUCUGACAGUACUGAGCUCCAGCUGGAAGCCUGAGCGAGUCUAGAUCCUUUAAGCCACAAACAGGAUUUAUAUGAAGGCUGAGAUAUAAACAGAACCAAAAAAAAAAAAAAAUAGAGACAAAGAAUAUGGAGUCCUGGAUUCAAGUCUCACAUAGGAACAAAGAUUUCCUGCUGCCCGCGUGCGACUGCAAGCCCUAAAAGUUUAUCUUAUUCGAUGAAUUUAUAUGGUAGCUACGAUGCCGGAUGGUGUUAUACAGUUCUUAAGUAGUUCCACAUGGCCUCUGUAG